rnacentral:pre_miRNA from 1 species
AGAGGAAUAGCUGGGUCAAAUGGUGGUUCCAUUCCCAGAUUUCCAAGGAAUCUCCAUACUGCUUUCCAAAUUGGCUGCACCAAUUUGCAGUCCCACCAGCAGU